rnacentral:rRNA from 1 species
GAAAUGCGAUAAGUAAUGUGAAUUGCAGAAUUCAGUGAAUCAUCGAAUCUUUGAACGCACCUUGCGCUCCUUGGUAUUCCGAGGAGCAUGCCUGUUUGAGUGUCAUGAAAUUCUCAACCUAUAAACCUUUGCGGGUUUGUAGUGUUGGAUGUUGGAGGCUUUUGCUGGCCCAGUCAGCUCCUCUUAAAUGCAUUAGCUUGGUUCCUUGUGGAUCGGCUGUCGGUGUGAUAAUGUCUACGCCGCACCCGUGAAGCGAUUGGAGAGCUUCUAAUGGUCUCGUCAGAGACAGCUUUUAUGAACUCUGACCUCAAAUCAGGUAGGACUACCCGCUGAACUUAA